GGUUAGCUCAGUUGGUAGAGCAGAAGACUCUUCAUCUCAGGGUGAUGGGUUCAAGCCCUACAUAGCU